UUGGUCAAAGCUUCCUUUUGGAAGCUUUGACUCUGAUUUUUUUUUAGCCCAAAACUUUUCUUAUCUCCUCCAGCAAGAUUUUUUUCCUCUUCUCCUCCAUGCUCCACACCAUUCUUGAAGCUUCCAUGCCAUUUUCUCUUUGUCCACUAUGUAACCAAGUUUUCUUCAUUUUCCUUUCCAUGUUUUCUUUUCCUUUCUUCUCCAAACUUCUUGAGCACUAAAUUUACAGCCUUUAAUCCCAAUUUUCAACACAUCUAAACCCUAGGAAUAGAAGAAAGAAAAAGAGAGAAAGGAAGAAAAAGCUUGGUUUUGGUGAUUCAAGCAAGGAUCGAUCAGAAUUCUUAUUUUUGGCUUGAGUAGUCUUUGAAAAUGAGUUAGUAACUUAGAGAAAUCUCUUGUGGCAGCAAAGAUUGGCUUGAUUGGAGAAAAAUUGAUAACAUGUAAGUCAAUAAACC
rnacentral:lncRNA from 1 species